AAACCCAGUGUGUUUCGACACACUAUCAUUAACUGAAUCCAUAGGUUAAUGAGGCGAACCGGGGGAACUGAAACAUCUAAGUACCCCGAGGAAAAGAAAUCAACCGAGAUUCCCCCAGUAGCGGCGAGCGAACGGGGAGCAGCCCAGAGCCUGAAUCAGUAUGUGUGUUAGUGGAAGCGUCUGGAAAGGCGCGCGAUACAGGGUGACAGCCCCGUACACAAAAAUGCACAUGCUGUGAGCUCGAUGAGUAGGGCGGGACACGUGGUAUCCUGUCUGAAUAUGGGGGGACCAUCCUCCAAGGCUAAAUACUCCUGACUGACCGAUAGUGAACCAGUACCGUGAGGGAAAGGCGAAAAGAACCCCGGCGAGGGGAGUGAAAAAGAACCUGAAACCGUGUACGUACAAGCAGUGGGAGCACGCUUAGGCGUGUGACUGCGUACCUUUUGUAUAAUGGGUCAGCGACUUAUAUUCUGUAGCAAGGUUAACCGAAUAGGGGAGCCGAAGGGAAACCGAGUCUUAACUGGGCGUUAAGUUGCAGGGUAUAGACCCGAAACCCGGUGAUCUAGCCAUGGGCAGGUUGAAGGUUGGGUAACACUAACUGGAGGACCGAACCGACUAAUGUUGAAAAAUUAGCGGAUGACUUGUGGCUGGGGGUGAAAGGCCAAUCAAACCGGGAGAUAGCUGGUUCUCCCCGAAAGCUAUUUAGGUAGCGCCUCGUGAAUUCAUCUCCGGGGGUAGAGCACUGUUUCGGCAAGGGGGUCAUCCCGACUUACCAACCCGAUGCAAACUGCGAAUACCGGAGAAUGUUAUCACGGGAGACACACGGCGGGUGCUAACGUCCGUCGUGAAGAGGGAAACAACCCAGACCGCCAGCUAAGGUCCCAAAGUCAUGGUUAAGUGGGAAACGAUGUGGGAAGGCCCAGACAGCCAGGAUGUUGGCUUAGAAGCAGCCAUCAUUUAAAGAAAGCGUAAUAGCUCACUGGUCGAGUCGGCCUGCGCGGAAGAUGUAACGGGGCUAAACCAUGCAC
rnacentral:rRNA from 1 species